rnacentral:rRNA from 1 species
GACGAACGCUGGCGGCGUGCUUAACACAUGCAAGUCGAACGGAAAGGCCCUGCUUUUGUGGGGUGCUCGAGUGGCGAACGGGUGAGUAACACGUGAGUAACCUGCCCUUGACUUUGGGAUAACUUCAGGAAACUGGGGCUAAUACCGGAUAGGAGCUCCUGCUGCAUGGUGGGGGUUGGAAAGUUUCGGCGGUUGGGGAUGGACUCGCGGCUUAUCAGCUUGUUGGUGGGGUAGUGGCUUACCAAGGCUUUGACGGGUAGCCGGCCUGAGAGGGUGACCGGCCACAUUGGGACUGAGAUACGGCCCAGACUCCUACGGGAGGCAGCAGUGGGGAAUAUUGCACAAUGGGCGGAAGCCUGAUGCAGCAACGCCGCGUGCGGGAUGACGGCCUUCGGGUUGUAAACCGCUUUCGCCUGUGACGAAGCGUGAGUGACGGUAAUGGGUAAAGAAGCACCGGCUAACUACGUGCCAGCAGCCGCGGUGAUACGUAGGGUGCGAGCGUUGUCCGGAUUUAUUGGGCGUAAAGGGCUCGUAGGUGGUUGAUCGCGUCGGAAGUGUAAUCUUGGGGCUUAACCCUGAGCGUGCUUUCGAUACGGGUUGACUUGAGGAAGGUAGGGGAGAAUGGAAUUCCUGGUGGAGCGGUGGAAUGCGCAGAUAUCAGGAGGAACACCAGUGGCGAAGGCGGUUCUCUGGGCCUUUCCUGACGCUGAGGAGCGAAAGCGUGGGGAGCGAACAGGCUUAGAUACCCUGGUAGUCCACGCUGUAAACGGUGGGUACUAGGUGUGGGGUCCAUUCCACGGGUUCCGUGCCGUAGCUAACGCUUUAAGUACCCCGCCUGGGGAGUACGGCCGCAAGGCUAAAACUCAAAGGAAUUGACGGGGCCCCGCACAAGCGGCGGAGCAUGCGGAUUAAUUCGAUGCAACGCGUAGAACCUUACCCGGGUUUGACAUGGAUCGGGAGUGCUCAGAGAUGGGUGUGCCUCUUUUGGGGUCGGUUCACAGGUGGUGCAUGCCUGUCGUCAGCUCGUGUCGUGAGAUGUUGGGUUAAGUCCCGCAACGAGCGCAACCCUUGUUCACUGUUGCCAGCACGUUAUGGUGGGGACUCAGUGGAGACCGCCGGGGUCAACUCGGAGGAAGGUGGGGAUGACGUCAAGUCCUCAUGCCCCUUAUGUCCAGGGCUUCACGCAUGCUACAAUGGCUGGUACAGAGAGUGGCGAGCCUGUGAGGGUGAGCGAAUCUCGGAAAGCCGGUCUCAGUUCGGAUUGGGGUCUGCAACUCGACCUCAUGAAGUCGGAGUCGCUAGUAAUCGCAGAUCAGCAACGCUGCGGUGAAUACGUUCCCGGG